GUAGGUGAACCUGCGGAAGGAUCAUUACCAAAUCCAAAACUUUUAUAAACCCACUUUGUGCACUGAGAAACCGAAUCUUUACCCUUUCAAUUCUCAGAUUCCAUUUCUUUUUUGGAAAAUGGGGAGAGGGAGGGUAAGGAGUUUUUUUAAUAAAACUACCCAAAAAACUCUUAACAGUCAUGUUAAAGCUUAUUUUUCUUACAUGUUUGAAUGCUUAUAGCAAACAAAAACAAAAAAAUGACAACUUUUAACGGUGGAUCUCUUGGCUCGU
rnacentral:misc_RNA from 1 species